CUCUCGAUUUUCUGUUAUUUAUUUUAUAAUUAUAUUUUGUUUAGGAUAAAAUAGUUUUGUUGAGAAGGAUUGUGCAGCAUUAGGAUGUUGGCAGAGUGUGUUACUCCAUGUAGAGAUUAAGACCAAGAUAUUGUGGUUGUGGAGACUUCAGAAGCCUUGAUUUUGCAGCCCAAGUCAGUGUUGUUUUAAAAUUUGCUAGAUAGUUAGUGGAGGGUGGUGCAAGACACAAAGGACUGGAAUCGAGAGAGAGGUUGAAUUCGAUGAAAUUAGACCAAAAGUGAGAGAAUAUUUCUUAGCUGAUUCUAUUAUUUUGUUUUCUGAACACUUGUUUUUGUUCUUUUGGAAGCAAUAUGCAAAGCGUAACAGAUUUUGGAUGAGAGAUUGAUUGCCAAGUUGUGUGACAUUAUUUUGGAAAAAGUAGUUUUUAAAAUCAACAGGUGAGAAAUGAAUCAAACAAACCCUUAGUUUCCUUAUGAAGGGUUAAAAACUUGUGUAAUGAAAAAAAAAAUUCAUUUAAUUCUGUUAAAUGUAGUGACUGAAAAUGAAUAAUUUUUUUUUGUAGGUAUUAAAACAAGAUAUUGUGAUAUUUUCACAGACCAUCAAUGUAUUUACACCUAAGACAUUGUUAUCCCAUUUGUAUUUUUGUGUUUUUCAGUUUGAAUUUUUAUAAUAAGUUGCAUUACAUGGUUAUUGCCUUGCUUAACGUGAGCGAAAAUGUGAUGGAUAUUAUAAUUCUGUUGCAUUGUUGACUUGGUAGUUGUUGUCAGUUUAUGAUUUUUUUAUGAAUAAGAAAUUUAAAAUUCAAAAUCAUGAUUGUUGUCUAACUUGCUUGCGUUGUAU